GGCUGAGGUUGUAGCGCGCCCGCAGCUCUUGCUGCCGCAGUUCCAGCCGCUGCCGCUCGAUCAUCUCGGGCUCAGACUCCAGCGCGUCGAAGACCGCGGCGCCCACCAGCAGGUUUAUGGCUUCUGAGAAGUAAGCAGAGGCAGCCUGUUCUCAGCACCAAACACAAUAAUUAUAAUAGCACUUGCAAUGAUUAAUCAGUCACUCUGAAAGUGGGAUGGCCUUGCUGGAGCAGACCGUGGGGACCACCUGACUUCCAGCUUUCCCUGGCCUUGGUGAUCUCAGAUGUCUGGUGUUCACAUAAUUAGACCAAAGCCUCAGUCUGUCCUCAAAGAGGAGACUGGGUGCUGAUUGCAACCAGUGGUCUUGCUAGGCCAUGCACAGCUUCUGGGCAUUUGCUGGGGGGAAGAGAAGCAAUCUUGAUUCAGGUGCUGGGGUUGAGGAAAACUGAUUCUCUUGGAUCAGGCUGGCAGGGAAGAGAAGAAGGGAGUGGGAUGUUGGGGGGCAGGGGCACAAAGCAGGCCUCGAUGGCUAUGCUCCUCAGAGCCCUGCAUUAAUCAUUUGCCAGGAGAGAUGCUAUGAGGAAGAAGCCACCUUAUUCCCCAUAUUAUUCUGGGAGUGGAGAGAAGGGAAGGCUAGACCAGGAGGCUGCUGGAAAGCCUGGAGUGCCAGCCUAAGAAACCUACAUGGCUACAUGGAGGGGCACCAAGUGAAUGUGGCUGGAGCUAUUCCACCAUGAGACCAGGGCCCUCCCAGUCAAGCCGCUUUCCUAAGCUGGCCUCCUGUCUUGUGCGAUCCACCCACCCUGCACUCCUGGCCUCAUCCGCCUUGCUCAGCUUAGGCCUCUUUGCACCAGCCAUUCUGUGUUCUUUGAAAUGCCUCCAAAUACUCUGGGCUCUUUCUUGCUUUUCUGCCAAAAAUGCAUAUUAUUGAGGGCACAUAUAUAAUUAUACUUAGUGCUCCUAACAGCCCUCUGAAUGGCAGCAUUCCUGUUUUACAGAUGAGAACACUGAGGCUCAAGCAAAGCAACUUGUCUAAGCUCUUAGAGGUAAAUAGAUGACAGAUUCAGGAUUCAAACUCAGAUCAGUUUGAUUCCAGAGUCAGUGCAUUCACUCUUCCGCCACACUCCCUCACUAGAAAAUUAUUGAGGGUGGAGCUAGGCAGCAGUAGGGAAACAGAUUAGAAUGUGCUAUGAACACAGGGCUUGGCACUUAGCUAGAGCUCAAAAAAAUACUAGCUGUGUGAAUGAAUGACUAGCUUAGAGAAGAGGCUGUAGGAAGGGCCUGGACCCAGCACCUGGGUUUGCCCCAGGAGGAACAGAUGCUUGACUUACUUUAUGUAGGAAACAGAGCAGAACUGUGGGUGAUGUCAAGUGACUUCAGCUUGCACAGGGGCCAGGAGACAGGAAUAAACUGGAUUUGGUGACUGAUCUAAGGUAGAGAUGAGGGAGGAAGCCAAGUGUCCAUCACCUAGCCCAGGUAGGGUCUGAGAAGUGCCUCCACAGCUGUGCAUGGGCUCAAGGAUGCCUUUGAAUGGGGUGCCUGGCAUCUCCAGCACACAAGUGAUCUGAAGGGGAAGAGACCAUCCACCCACAUGGAUGGGGGUUGCUUGGCACUGGGUCAUUCUGGGGAGGUACAGGCAGGUACCUGGGCUCUGUGCUGUGCACAUCUCAGGUGACCAGAGAUGGUGCAGUCCAGUGACCCAUGGAAUCCACAGCAAGUCAGGGAGAUGGAGAUCAGCUGAGAGUUAGCACUCAGGCAGAAGGGCAACAAGCCAUCAGGGAGAUGGAAAAAGUGAUGUCGUUAAGGAACAAUGUGGCCAAAGGAAUGAGCUGUAACUUGCUGGACCCAAAGGACAAAUGGGAAAACAGCUGCCAGAGGCCCAGGGGUGUCUGAUGAUGGCCUGACACUGCCCUGGGGAGGGACUGAGCUCCAGCACAGAAACCAGAAGAGAAUCACUCCAUAGGCUCUAUGGAUCUUUUCUAUCUGCUAAUACUUUGCCAAGCAAACCGUCUGGCCUAUUAAUAAAGGCUUGACGAAUUGAGUCAGGACAGGCCUGGCCAGAGGACUCUGCCCUGUUGCAACUGAGUGGAUCUAAGGGGGCAGUUAUGAGGCAGAGGAAAGAUCUUGGGGUCCAGGGUUGGCAUCCCUGGGUUGAUCCUGCCCCUGUCUGGUGUAUGACCUGCCUUCUUUCAAUGGGUUGGGAGGAUUGUGCCUCUGUUCCCCUCUUCCUGGAUUAGGGCUGGGGAAAACCAACCCCACACCAUAGUCCAGGGAGGAAACCAGGCUUAAGGGAAAGGGAAAGGGGCUUCCUGGGUCUGGCCUAGGGUGGGUGAGCCAUCGAAGGACUGAGCUCAUUAGAGGCCGGCAAGACACUCAGUGGAAAUUUAGAAUCUUGAAAUGAGUGCCAAAGAGAACUUAUGUAUGUGUCUGAGUUGGGGGUGAGGUCAUCUGAUCUAUAUCCUGUUAACGGGUGAGGAAACAGGCCCAGAGAAGGACAGGGUCAAGAGCAUGCAAUGUGAUGAUGUCACUUGGGUCUUGAUUGAGUUUGGAUCCCAUUGCUGGUUUCCUAAUAAGAAAAAUCUCUGCCUAGCAAAGAGAUAAUGGGGUUCCAGGCAAUGGCUAGGGAACUGGACUUGAGCAGAAGUACUUGUGUUGACCUUUGGAAUCUGGAGAAACCAUGACCUGCUUUUUAAUUGUGGUCAAAAUUGUUUGGAGCCCAAUUUGCCUGGUGAAACUCCUGCUCACUUCCUGCUACCCUGCAGGGCCUGGCUUUCUGCAGAGUUUAGGGGAUUUUGUAAAACUCUCCUGGGAGUUUUGGGCCAGGGAGCUUUGGGGUCUAAUGGGCUGGGGCUCCAAGAGCUGAUUGAUCUCCAGGGGCUUGACAGGGGGAUACAAAUGGCCACACCAAGGCCUCUGUCCUCUCACAAAUGGUGAUCCAGACACACACUCUCCUGUUUGCACCCAAACUCAGUCUUAAGAGCACAUUCAGUGCACAUGUGGCCCCACGAUUAUUUUUCCAAGGAGCGAGGAUGGUUCCAAGGUCCACCCAGACAGUAGAUGGGUCAGGUGGGACUCCAGAGUUGUUGCCCAUGACACAGCACAGUUUGUGCAUCUUCUUCCUCCCUCUGCACAUACCUCUAGAGCCUCCCUCAGCCCCUGUGGUCCUCACUGCCAGGCCAGGGCCCCUGAACUCCUCCAGCUUCAAGCCCCACUUCUCGCCUCCCGUGACGGAGCUCCUGCAUUCUUGGGCUGGACCAGCCUUCUCCCUAAGAGUGGGGAGAGGGAUACAGGAAAGGAGACCCUGUACUUCUGACUGGAGACAGAGGGAAGCAGAGGCACGCAGCUGGCCUGAGCCAAGGCCAGGAUCCAAUGCUCCUGUCUCCAGCUUCAGCAAGAGAGUCUAGAGCAGCAGGCAAGGGCAGCAGACGGAGCAGCAACGUUCUGUUUCCUUAAGCUCCCAGCUGGGACUGAGAACACCAAAUCCUCUUUGAAAAAAACAGAAUAGGGAUUUUUAAAAAUCAAGAUAUUAACCUUUUGAAACUGGACACUCCCCCCACCCCUCCACUGUAGAGAGAUUAAGUUCUUUCCUAAGCAUUUUUUUUUCAUUUCUAUAAACAUCUUUAAUUCAUGCCGACAUCAUGGCCAGCUUGGAUUAUGGAUGGAUGGAGAGAUGAAUGGCCUUGUCUCAGCACAUAUGCAUGCGUGCAUACACGUACAUACACACCCACACCUAGAGUAGCAGAAAGAGCACGGAGGAGGAGCUGAAGACCUGGGUUUUAUUUCCAGCACCACCACUGAACCCUGAACUUCAGUUUCCUCAUCUGUAAAGGGGGUGGUUGGACCAGCGGGUUUCUAAGAGUCCUUGACAUCCCGUAGUCUGGAGCGUCCUGGGCUGCGGGGGCUGCCCCCCUUGCCUAGUUCCCUCUCCUUCCUCCACCACAGUUUCUCAAGGGCCCUCUAUGUUUCUCCCAGAACUUCUCUGACGGCCUUCAGGCCUGGCCACAAGCACUGGAGGGAGGGCUGGGGAAGCAUGCGUUCUGGCUCUGUGUGGAGCCAGAGCUGUUUUUAUGGUUAUUUCAGCUCUGCUGUAAAUGCAGUCAUGUGUAGAGCAGCCAGCAGGAGACUCAGCAAACUGUAGGUGCUUCCCAAAGCCCACUCUGUCUCCUUUAGCCUCCCUCUUUUUAGUUCACCUGGAUGCCCAUCCCCACCUGAGGCCAGGUUCCCUUCAUCUGCCAGAGUCACUGAAGAAACCACGUUGUUCUUUUUCUAGUUUCAGGUUCCCCUAAGCCUCUGCCAUGUGGCUCUACUCUGAACCCUUGAAUGGUUCCCAUUGCUUUCAGGAUGAAGACCUGGACUCCUACCUCUCCAUCCUGGCUUCAAGGUCCACUUGCCUCAUCCCUCUGGGCUUUUAGAGCCUUCUUUCAGUCCCCAAACAUGCUGUGGUCCUUCCAUCUCAGCCCCCAAGUGAAUCCUACCUGUGCCCUGACUCACCCCUGUCUGUACCUGGAGCAAUCCCCUGAUGGUCCCCUCCCCAGGAACAUCAUCCUUGACCCCAGGUUAGGGCCCUCAUGCUCUGAUCCUCUGGCUCCCCUCUCCUCCCCAAUGAUUAUCAUAACAUUAUCAUAACAAAAAGACCAGUUACAUCUCAGGCGCUGGACGUCAGUCUCCCCCACUAGACCACAAGUCCCAGGAGGGCAGGGACAGGUAGGUGUGUCUGUUUGGUUCAACACUGUCUCCCCAGCACCUGCUCUAUGUCUAGUGCUCGAUACGUACUUGAGUAAAUGAAUGAGUGGCAUCUAAAAUUGCUCUCUCUAAACGCACCCGAAACUGGGCGCAGCACCUCCCAUGCAGUCAGGGCAUAAAAUUCCUUAAAAUAGCUUCACUCUUCUCUGGAUAGAUAGCUGAUCUUCUCCAAAGCUUCCCCCUUUUCUUUCCUGACUCCACAGAUUCCCAAAAUUCAAAUUCUUUUUGAACUUGUCUCUGACCUGCCAACAUCAUCAGCCUGAUCAAACAACAGAAUUCCUAUCCACAUUUCAGUUCCUUCCAUCUUCUCUGACAAGCCCAAUCACCUCUGCACCUUGAUUAUGCUCUGUUCUUGAGGCUGCAGCCAGCUGCAGUUAUUCUGCACAUUGGGAGGAGGGUAGUUCUAGACUAGCCCUGGCCCGGUGAGGACCAGGAGAGAGGUGCUGACUGUCCUCAAUGGCCUUGGGUAGAGGUGGGCCAUUGCAGGGGUCUAGUUCUGGCUGGAGCAGAGGUUAUGGGAAUCCCUAGUUGUCAUUUUAGUCAAUCCUCUUCAGGGUAUGCUCAUAGAACAACAGUUCCUUGAGAUGUUCUUUGAAAGAAAGAAUCUUCCCAAAUACAUUUGGGAAGCUCUGAACAUCACUUAUAGUUAGCUCUUGUUUGCAAGCAUCAGAAGCCAACUCUGCUAACUUAAGCUUAAAAGAGAUUCAUCCCAAGGAUCUUGGUCAGAAAACCAAGGUCAGAGGCAAAGCAGCCAGGAACAAUGUCCAGAGUCAUGCUGUAGGAUCAGCCCCUAGAAGACCCCACUGCUGCCACUGCUGGGCACAGACACUUUAGCUUAUGCCACCAGUUCCACCAACACUGAACCUCUAGAACCAUCCACCUCUAGAACCAUCAUCAGUGUGGCCUAUGGAGACAGAUUUUAGCUGCUGCCCCCUUCCUCGCCAGAGAGGGUUCUGCAUAGUCCCUGCUGCUUUGCAUCAGACAUUUUGGGUUCAAAGCCUGGGGAAAUGCAUCUUGUUGGUAGACUGAGGUCAUGUGCCUGUACCCUUAGCUCCAGAGAGGCUAGGACAAUGUCAACUGGCCACCUUCAGCUUCUGUACUGGGAGGCAGUCAUGACUUCUCAAUAUUGGGGAAAUCCUCACAAAUAGGAAGGGAGAAAAGAAACUGUGUGGCCUUAAAGAGUGACAACUCUUCCUUGCGCUGUGGACUCUAGAAACUUCCCUUGGGAGUUUGCAGUGCUCCAGGGCAGCUCCAGUUUCUCACUCUCAGCACGUUGACUUUGUCGGGGGGCUGUUCUGGGCACUGCAGGUGUUUAGCAGCAUCCAGACCUCUACCCACUAGAUGUCAGGAGCACUCCUCCAGUUAUAACAACUAAAAAUGGCUAACCAAGUUACCAAAUGUCCCCUGGGGGAUGAAUGUGCCCCCAGCUGAAAACUACUGUUCUAGGUCUGCAGUUCAUUUGUAGUAGAUUUGAGGAGCCAGGAUUAAUUUAACCUGGUAUCCCAAACUUAUUUGACCAUGGAAAAAAUUUUGUUUUUCUCUAACACCCUUU